rfam:Triticum aestivum genome assembly, contig: Triticum_aestivum_CS42_TGACv1_scaffold_433706_5DL
UAAAUACUCCCUCCGUCCGAGAAUACUUGUCAAAGAAAUGGAUGUAUCUAGACGUAUUUUAGAUCUAGAUACAUCCAUUUUCAUACAUUUCUGUGACAAGUAAUUCCGGACGGAGGGAGUAUAAG